CCAAUAGCGUAUAUUAAAGUUGUUGCAGUUAAAAAGCUCGUAGUUGAACUUCGGGGUUUACCCAUUGGUCAGGCUUAAUUGUCUGCACUGGUGAGAUGAAUCUCUACCUUCUGAGGAACUUUCAUGCCAUUUAUUUGGUGUGAUGGGAAAUCAGGACUGUUACUUUGAAAAAAUUAGAGUGUUUAAAGCAGGCUAACGUCUGAAUACAUUAGCAUGGAAUAAUGAAAUAGGACGGACUGAUUCUAUUUCGUUGGUUUCUAGGAUCACCGUAAUGAUUAAUAGGGAUAGUUGGGGGCAUUAGUAUUCAAUUGUCAGAGGUGAAAUUCUUGGAUUUAUUGAAGACUAACUACUGCGAAAGCAUUUGCCAAGGAUGUUUUCAUUAAUCAAGAACGAAAGUUAGGGGAUCGAAGACGAUCAGAUACCGUCGUAGUCUUAACCAUAAACUAUGCCGACUAGGGAUCGGACGAAGUUAAUUUUAUAAUGACGCGUUCGGCACCUUCCG
rnacentral:rRNA from 1 species